rnacentral:rRNA from 1 species
GAUGAACGCUGGCGGCGUGCCUAAUACAUGCAAGUCGAGCGAACAGAUGAGGAGCUUGCUCCUCUGACGUUAGCGGCGGACGGGUGAGUAACACGUGGAUAACCUACCUAUAAGACUGGGAUAACUUCGGGAAACCGGAGCUAAUACCGGAUAAUAUAUUGAACCGCAUGGUUCAAUAGUGAAAGACGGUUUUGCUGUCACUUAUAGAUGGAUCCGCGCCGCAUUAGCUAGUUGGUAAGGUAACGGCUUACCAAGGCAACGAUGCGUAGCCGACCUGAGAGGGUGAUCGGCCACACUGGAACUGAGACACGGUCCAGACUCCACGGGAGGCAGCAGUAGGGAAUCUUCCGCAAUGGGCGAAAGCUUGACGGAGCAACGCCGCGUGAGUGAUGAAGGUCUUCGGAUCGUAAAACUCUGUUAUUAGGGAAGAACAAAUGUGUAAGUAACUAUGCACGUCUUGACGGUACCUAAUCAGAAAGCCACGGCUAACUACGUG